rnacentral:rRNA from 1 species
CCUAUUCCGCACCCGCAGUGUUCUUCACCCAACCUCGUUCUUCAUCUCGUCCGUUACGGGGAGAGAUGUAACCGUAGAUAUGUCGGUUUAGUUCCUGAAUUUGAGGACCUUGCCGAGGAGGAUAGGGGACGAGGAGAACGUAACCGCGUUCAGGCGGAGGAGGGGGCGCAGGUAGAGGUGCGCACGUCGUCGGUGGGCCCUCCUCGAGCUCGGCGUCGCCACCAGGUACCGCGGAAGCGACAGUAGGGGUCGACCUCUUCGUACUUGGCGUCUCUGCCUGCCUAGACAGGCCGGGAGCGCGGCAACAAGCAGGUGAGAGUUCCUGAAUUCUCUCUACGACUAUGAUACUCGGUCUACCAGCUUCUGUAGGGCUACUUCGUCGUGUACGAACAUGGAAGAAAGCAACCACCGCCCUCUUUCUCCUAGGUGGGCGAGGGAAUACGACUAAGCUCGGAAGGAAUCGACAUGACCUUAUGUUUCCAAGAGCACAGAGCGCACACCGUCAUGGCUCCUCCCUGACUGCUACCAGUCGAACACGUAUGACCGUAACACCACGAACUGGUUCUCCCGUGGGUGUACAUACCGGUCUAAGGACGAUUGUCGAGUCCGUGCCGCCACGGGUAAGAACGGAGAAAGGGAUGCCCUAGUCGAUGUGAACAGCACGACGGAGAACUACUCUACUUGUGAGGAUAUAGACGUAAGUUUCCUUUUCCCGUCCGAUAAUACGGAUUUUGUGGGUCGUUUAGUCGUACGGGUUUUUCACGAGCGGCGUUUGAAAAAUGACUCGGGAGUUUCGGGCUCCUGUGACUUGAGAGACGGAGACGACGGUUCCACCGAUCGGUCCGACUUGUUCCACGAGGACGACCUUUACAACAACUUCGAUGUAGACACGGUUUACAGCCAGUUCUUUGACUCGAAUAUCGAUGGCUUCUAGGUUUCUUGUUGGAAGGACUGGUGUGAUUUCAGUUCUCCCAUAGAAGAUACAAGACGAACGACUUCUCUCGAAGAGUCGAGACGACGCAGUGUCGUUACCAGACCGGUAGCCCAGAUUUCUAGCAGUUGAGACGUGUGAAAACCCGCACGUGGUCAGUUUCCGAACCGACGAGUGACAAGAACUACGUGCGAUGUAAAUAUGGAAGACUGUCGGGAGACCCAGAUAGAGGACUUUGGUAGGAGUACCUCAACCAACUUGACAGGUGGUGUAGAAACCGACUUCGUUACAAACUCUUCGAACCCGAGGGAUUUGGUUAGAUGGUACACGUAACCGAACCCGUUCCACCUACAUUUCGUUUUUAACUUAAGGUAGCAUGCUUUCUUGCAAAGGUACGAAGUCGUACGGUCCGAUUUGACUUUUGAGCACAUACGCUCCUACUCCUCUGUAGUUACUUAGAACGUCGGCUAGACCGGUAACUUAUGUACCUUUUGUUUCUCUUGUUUCAUGAACAACUAAUGUUAAUAAUGGAUGACCUCGUUUUAUUUUUCUGUACACGUUCUCAUAGUCUGUUCGACGAUCUUUUUAGUCUUCUCUAGUUGGUUGCGUCGUUGUUUUAGUUUGUCUAUUGAUUUCUCCGUACGUUGAUACACCUACUUCACGCUCGACGCAGUUUAUUUUAAGUACCAGAAUGACCACAACGGAACCUGGGUUGAUGGAGUUACAGGCAGAGAUUAGGCUCCGUCCGAGAGGACCUCUAAGUACUACGUAAUUAACGUGACGUUUUGUGAUGUUGGUGUUGUAGAGUCAAGGACCUCCUUCUUCCGUACAUGAGAUUACUCCUGCACCGACUAGGUCAUAUGUGACCCGUAAGAUUACUUCUAAGACAACUUCUAACGGUAGAUCUGUACUUGCUGCUGAUGUGAGUAAUAUACGCUAGAGGUACU